rnacentral:lncRNA from 1 species
UCCGUUUGAGUCAGUUGCAACGAGAAAGAGGGCCCAUCAAAAUUGAGAAUUUUGGUGGGUAUACCUCUGGGUAGUCUGUUGAGUGGCGUUGCAUCCGAUAUUAGAGAGAAAACUCAAAGAAUCCUGGUGAUUAACAAUACAAAUGGAAGAUAUAUCAGAAAAUUGUGUAAAUUCGCUAAAAAUACUUAUAGAAACAAACUAAUGAAAAAGCAAUUUCGAAGUAGUUGAAUUACCUACGGGGAGAAGAUUUCCAAAAUACAACUGUGAAUCUCUAAAAAACACUUGCGAACCAACUUGCCCGUCAAAAUACGCUUGAGAACAGUUGCGAAGAAGAAUGGUGUGUGGGGUGAUAAUGGCGGAGAAGUAUAGGCGAUAAUGGCGGAGGAGAGUUUUUGAAGUGUAUGGAACGUGUGUUUGUGGGAGAAGAG